UAAAAAAAAACCACUCUCUCUCUCUCCCACUCCGGUCUCUCCCUCUCCCACUCAAUUCCCCAUUCCCCCACCGCGUUUCCUCCAACCACCAGGGACGGCGAGGGCAAGCUCCGGAGUGGGUGACCACGGCCAGGUGCCAGACGAGCUCCGCGACGGGGCAUCGCGGGCAAGCUCCUCGAGGGGCUGCGAGGGCGAGCUCGGCCAUGGCACGGAGCGGGCGAGCCAGCUAGGGGCGGCGCGGGAGAGAUCCUCCGAGGGCGGCACGGGCGAGGUACGCCAUAGCCGGCGCGGGCGACCACGGCGAGAUGCUGGCGCCGACGAGCUCCGCGAUGGGGCGGCGCGGGCGAGCUCCUCGAGGGGCGGCGAAGGCGAGCUCGGCCAUGGCGCGGCUGGGCAAGCUCUAGCCAGGGGCGGCCGCGGGCGUGAGCAAGUACGAACAGUUCCCUCCGGCGAAAUUUCCCAUCCAGCCAUGGUGUAUGCGCGUGCAUUGUGUUCAGGUUUUAUGGAUUGGGAAGUGUCUGAAGGUUUAGUUAUUGAAUCCAUUAACAGUUUUGCUUCAUAGCUCUGCAGCCUCUUCAUUGGAAUGCAUGAUACAUACUCCAUGUUAGCUGGUUGGUCCAUAUUAGCUGGUUGGUUCAUGACAAGGAAGUGCAUUGAUUUCUUUGUUCUCUGCGGUGAGAGUUGGUGUGCUGACCACGGCCAUCUCGCGCCUACCUAUUCCGGUGUGCUUGCCUCCAGCAACUCGCCACUACGGCCUGGCGCAAAUCUAGCACCCGCAGAAAUCGAGUCUGCCAUCAAGGAUUGACAAGGCGUGGCGACUGAGCAGGUAUUGACUGAGCAUGGCGACUGAAGAUGGAUGAACUCGACUGAGAUGAAGAUGACCUUAGCCUGGAGCUAUGGCGCACGAUUACUGGGAAGGAUUCAUGCGUGAUUACUGGGAAGGAUUACAUACCAUGCGUCAUGGGUGUUUCCUGAUUCAUACCAUGCGUCAUGGGUGUUUCCUGAUUCAUGGGUCGUUCUUGGUUUAUUUCCAUGCGAGAUUUCCUAAUUCAUCGGUCGUUCUUGAUUUAUUUCCUGUUUAGAUUCCAUUCAUGCGUGAUUUAUAUUUCCUGGCGAGAUUUCCUGGCGAGAUUUUCCUGCCGAGAUUACAUACCUGACGAGAUUGCAUACCUAGCGUGAUUUAUAUUUCCUGGCGAGAUUACAUUCGGCCCAUGUUAACGCUUGGCCCAGGCGGGUGGGCAACGAAGGACGACGACGACCAAUUACGACCAAACUUUCUCUAAGUAUUUUAGAGUACUCUGAAUUUUAAAAACAUGCAUGUGCCUUUUAAAAACAUGAGAUAUCAGACAUGGGAAAAGUUAUUGAGCUCUGAUGUGAGAGUCUAUAAAAUUUGCACCACCAAAAUAUUUGUGCAUCUGUGCAAAAUUGUUGAAAAGUGAUAUUCAGUUGUUGCCUUCUAACACUUAACUAUUUGUUUGGCAGGUUCAGUCAUUUUUUACAUCACUGGGAGCAUUGUCUCGUAAACAAUUUCAUGAUGGCUCAUAUGAAACGACUGAGCAGGCAAAUGCUAAAUGAUAACCACUCACUCAAUGAUAACCAAACACCAGUUUGGAGUUGUUGUGGUUAUCACCAAUCAAGUAGUGGCACAAGUGGAUGUGUUUGCGAUGUUUGCUGGGCCACAAGUGGAUUCCUUGUAUACUGAAUUUGAAUCAUGAAGAUGAAGGAUAAGAAGAGGCGAUGUCUUCGACUGGUUGGAGAGCCAACCUGUGCGUCAAAGAAGAGGCGGCAGACCAAUGAGGCAGAUCACGGGGCGUCGGCGAGCCGGCAGACCUCGGGGCGUCGGUGUUGGAAACCAGUGUUAUCACGGGGCAUCGGCGAGGCGGCAGACCUCGGGCGUCGGCGAGGCGGCAGACCUCGGGGCGUCGGUGUUGGCAACCAGUGUUUGCCAAGAAGGCAGACGUCGGAGAAGAG